AAACAAAAAGUGCAUGUCAUGUGUACCCCCUG
rnacentral:tRNA from 1 species